rnacentral:lncRNA from 1 species
UGCCAUCCCAACGGAAACUGGUCGGCCCUAGGCCAGGCCGCGUCGCGCGCCGCCGGGCUGGGUGGGGUCCGCCCCCGCUCUAGGGGGGGCUAGCUUGGUUACCUCUCCCCGCCCAGCUUUUUUUCCCUGCCCCGCGCCUUGCGGGCCUGCUUUGGGCGCCGACGAUAUCCCGAGCUCUAGCUAGUAAUAGCGCACACCUUCCGGCCUCGGGACUGUUGUGGCCGAAGGUUCAAGGGACAGUCGCCCCCAAUCACGUUGAACUGUUUUUUUUUUUUUUUUAACGGUAAUAGCUAGUAUUUGUAAAGUGCUUCAAGGCCUUCUCAUUUGAUCCUCCUACGACGGGAAAUGCUAAUUUCCCCUUGAGGCGGGGGUUGGGGGUGUUGUCCCCGCUACGCUUCUGACGGCGGUGGGCGUUUUUGGAGCGGAGUCCUCCUGAGAGCCCCAGUACUGCCCUGACCUGCCAGGACCUUCGCUCGGUGGGACGGCCGCGUCCUAGAGUGAAAUCGGCCGUCCCCGGAGCGGGGAAGUGUGGGGCUUUAACGGCGCGGAAAAGGACCGCCAUGCAGUUUUGCCUUAUCUGAGAAGAGCGCUAAGUGUGGUUAAUGAGCGGCAGAUACUUGUUGCCAACUUGAAAAGUGAAAGAUAACGCCCUUAAAAAAAAAAAAAAAAAAAAAAAGGCGAGCACCUAUAUGUUUAUGAGGUACGAAGAAUUAGACACGGGCCUGCAAAGAGCGCUUUGCAAAUGGUGAAAUGCGAUUUCUGUGAAAUCCGUGGGCCAGGAGACCCUAAGUUCGGCCAGCCGUAGUCUGGCAUGAUAUGAGGGAGGUGCAAGGCCCCAGAUCAGAGAAGAUGGGAGCUGAUCUGAAGUGAAACGUUAGAAACUGAGGAGGAGGGGGGACGUUCCAGGUUAAGAAACCACAGAUGUUUUGCUUGGGGGAAUGAUUCAUGCCUUGAAGAAAUUAUUUCAACAGUUUCAAAGAGUAUGGAUUGGAGAAAGUUCAAACUUGAGGCCAGGAGACCAAUUCGGAAGCUGUGGCAAUAGGGGUCCAGAGGUCAGAGUCACUCCAAGGGUAGUGGCUGUGAAUAGAAAGAUGUGGAUGAAUACAAAAGACAGCAGAAUCAGCAAAACUUGGGCCUGGAUUGGAUGGAGAAGGGAGGAAGAAGUAAAAGGUUAAUGGAAAGAUGGCUAUCCCUCAGUGGACAUGGGUAGCAUGUUGAGUUUGGGACGCCUUUGAGACAUCAAAGUGCAGGUGUCCAGCAUGUUGUCUGAGAUUCAGUGAAGAUUGCAGAUCCAGAAAUCUUUCCAGCUUGGUAGAGCCUACCAGCACUUCUGUUGAACCUGUAUAGACACCUCACCACAGAUCAGGAGGAAAACCACAUCGGAUAACCUAAAUGAAGACUGUUAAAGCAC